UUGGCGCUGGGUCAGGCUCUGCCUACUCUCCUCCCCUGCCGACUGACAUUCAAUGCUUUCCUAUGGAGAUUUCAGCGAUGUUGGAGGUCCUCACAUAGCGUGAGGACAUCCAGCGUCACUUAAAACACUUUUUGAUAGACAGCCACUAGAGGAGGACUUAACCCUGCAAGGUAAUUAUUGCAGCUUACAAAAACUGCAAUAAUUACACUUGCAGGGUUAAGGGUAGUUGGCGUUAGCACCCAGACCACUCCAAUGGGCAGAAAUGGUCUGGAGUGUCC